CCUCGCGCGGUUGGACGAACCGAUGUGCGAUUAGCUAGUUGGUAGGGUAAUGGCCUACCAAGGCGACGAUCGCUAGCUGGUCUGAGAGGAUGAUCAGCCACACUGGAACUGAGACACGGUCCAGACUCCUACGGGAGGCAGCAGUGGGGAAUAUUGGACAAUGGGCGCAAGCCUGAUCCAGCAAUGCCGCGUGUGUGAAGAAGGCCUUCGGGUUGUAAAGCACUUUUAUCAGGAGCGAAAUACUACUGGCUAAUAACCGGUGGGGCUGACGGUACCUGAGGAAUAAGCACCGGCUAACUUCGUGCCAGCAGCCGCGGUAAUACGAAGGGUGCAAGCGUUAAUCGGAAUUACUGGGCGUAAAGCGUGCGUAGGCGGUUAUUUAAGUCUGUUGUGAAAUCCCCGGGCUCAACCUGGGAAUGGCAAUGGAUACUGGAUAGCUAGAGUGUGAUAGAGGAUGGUGGAAUUCCCGGUGUAGCGGUGAAAUGCGUAGAGAUCGGGAGGAACAUCAGUGGCGAAGGC
rnacentral:rRNA from 1 species